rnacentral:rRNA from 1 species
GAUGAACGCUGGCGGCGUGCCUAAUACAUGCAAGUCGAGCGAACGGACGAGAAGCUUGCUUCUCUGAUGUUAGCGGCGGACGGGUGAGUAACACGUGGAUAACCUACCUAUAAGACUGGGAUAACUUCGGGAAACCGGAGCUAAUACCGGAUGAUAUUUUGAACCGCAUGGUUCAAAAGUGAAAGACGGUCUUGCUGUCACUUAUAGAUGGAUCCGCGCUGCAUUAGCUAGUUGGUAAGGUAACGGCUUACCAAGGCAACGAUGCAUAGCCGACCUGAGCGGGGGAUCGGCCACACUGGAACUGAGACACGGUCCAGACUCCUACGGGAGGCAGCAGUAGGGAAUCUUCCGCAAUGGGCGAAAGCCUGACGGAGCAACGCCGCGUGAGUGAUGAAGGUCUUCGGAUCGUAAAACUCUGUUAUUAGGGAAGAACAUAUGUGUAAGUAACUGUGCACAUCUUGACGGUACCUAAUCAGAAAGCCACGGCUAACUACGUG